GUAAGGAAUAUUGGUCAAUGGACGAAAGUCUGAACCAGCCAUGCCGCGUGGAGGAUGAAGGUCCUCUGGAUUGUAAACUUCUUUUAUCUGGGACGAAAAAAGGCUUUUCUAAGUCGUCUGACGGUACCAGAUGAAUAAGCACCGGCUAACUCCGUGCCAGCAGCCGCGGUAAUACGGAGGGUGCAAGCGUUAUCCGGAUUCACUGGGUUUAAAGGGUGCGUAGGUGGGUUGGUAAGUCAGUGGUGAAAUCCCCAAGCUUAACUUGGGAACUGCCAUUGAUACUAUCAGUCUUGAAUACCGUGGAGGUCAGCGGAAUAUGUCAUGUAGCGGUGAAAUGCUUAGAUAUGACAUAGAACACCAAUUGCGAAGGCAGCUGGCUACACGAAUAUUGACACUGAGGCACGAAAGCGUGGGGAUCAAA
rnacentral:rRNA from 1 species